UAUAAAACAAAUAAUGAAUGUUUUUAUUCGUGCAAUGGUAAGAAUAUUUUCAUUCGGUGAAAGAUGGAAUGUUCCAUUCAACUCUGCUGUCGCCUCGUUGAAUGGAACAUUCCAUCUUUCACCUCAUGAAAAUAUUCUAACCAUUGCACGAAUAAAAACAUUCAUUAUUUGUAUACUG